GUCUGCGGCCAUGCCGCCCUGAAUGUGCCCGAUCUCGUCUGAGCUCAGAAGGGUCGGGCACGGUUAGUACUUGGAUGGGAGAUCACCUAGGAAGACCAGGUGCUGUAGGCA
rnacentral:rRNA from 1 species